CAACCCUCAAGCUUUGCUUGGUAUUGGACAUUGCCAGUUUCUGGCAGGUCUUAAAAUCAGUGGCGGUGCCAUUUGGCUUCAAGCGUAGUAAUUCUUCUCGCUUUGGAGAUCCAGGUGGUUACUUGCCAAUAACCCCCAAUUUUUUAAU
rnacentral:misc_RNA from 1 species